CUAUAAUAAUCAAUUUUAGAAUAAGGCUGUAACGUAACAAAAUGUGGAAAAUGCUAAGGGGUCUGAAUACUUUCCGAAUGCACUGUAUAUAGAGCCAUUAUUGCAUGGAACUCCCGUCAAUCUCAUAUUGCUCAAAUGAACAGCAAACCUCAUUUUAAAAGAACUGAUAAAGCAACGCAUUACGGCACAACGCCUCAACCCUAUUUGACCUAGUUUGUGUGUAUGUAUUGAUAUGUAGGCUUCGUGAGUCCUUUUUAAAUCAUUGUAGUUCUGUCCUUGGGCUGUUCUUGUCUACUGAUGUUCUGUAUUGUGUUUCANNNNNNNNNNNNNNNNNNNNNNNNNNNNNNNNNNNNNNNNNNNNNNNNNNNNNNNNNNNNNNNNNNNNNNNNNNNNNNNNNNNNNNNNNNNNNNNNNNNNGUCUGUUAACCAGGACAGCAUGUUGUCUUCUCUUCUCAGUCUGUUAACCAGGACAGCAUGUUGUCUUCUCUUCUCAGUCUGUUAACCAGGACAGCAUGUUGUCUUCUCUUCUCAGUCUGUUAACCAGGACAGCAUGUUGUCUUCUCUUCUCAGUCUGUUAACCAGGACAGCAUGUUGUCUUCUCUUCUCAGUCUGUUAACCAGGACAGCAUGUUGUCUUCUCUUCUCAGUCUGUUAACCAGGACAGCAUGUUGUCUUCUCUUCUCAGUCUGUUAACCAGGACAGCAUGUUGUCUUCUCUUCUCAGUCUGUUAACCAGGACAGCAUGUUGUCUUCUCUUCUCAGUCUGUUAACCAGGACAGCAUGUUGUCUUCUCUUCUCAGUCUGUUAACCAGGACAGCAUGUUGUCUUCUCUUCUCAGUCUGUUAACCAGGACAGCAUGGUGUCUUCUCUUCUCAGUCUGUUAACCAGGACAGCAUGUUGUCUUCUCUUCUCAGUCUGUUAACCAGAAGAGUGGCAGCCCCUGGACAACAACAUAUUUCACCCCCAUCACCAGCUUCUUCCUCUACAACGUGGCUGACUUCUGUGGUCGCCAGGCCACGGCCUGGCUGCAGGUCCCAGGCCCCACCAGUAGAGUCCUCCCCGCCCUGGUCCUCUCCCGGACAGUCCUGGUGCCUCUCCUCAUGUUCUGCAACUACCAGGUAAAGAAAAGGAGAGAACGUCCACAACUUUCUAGGGAGUUUUUCCGAGCCACCGUGCUUCUACACCUGCAUUGCUUGCUGUUUGGGGUUUUAGGCUGGGUUUCUGUACAGCACUUUGAGAUAUCAGCUGAUGUACGAAGGGCUAUAUAAAUACAUUUGAUUUGAUUUGAUUUGAACUCUUAUCCUCUAGUGGAAAUAAGGUAAAGGGUGCCAGUCUGUCUGUGUUACCAUGCCAACUCCUUGUCACUCAUUGGCUAGACACAUGACCAGGCAGUCGAUCACAUCAAAUAUAUCUAUAUUUUUUAAUUAAAAGACCAGCACUCAGUUGAAUAUAAUCUUUGUUAAAAAAAACAAUAAAACAUUUGUUUAAAAUAAAAAAACAUUUUUUAUUCUUAUUGCAACACGUCUUAGUAGUCUUUUUAGUAACACCUUCUAUGUAGUACAUGUGUACAGUGCCUUGCGAAAGUAUUCGGCCCCCUUGAACUUUGCGACCUUUUGCCACAUUUCAGGCUUCAAACAUAAAGAUAUAAAACUGUAUUUUUUUGUGAAGAAUCAACAACAAGUGGAACACAAUCGUGAAGUGGAACGACAUUUAUUGGAUAUUUUCAAACCUUUUUAACAAAUCAGAAACUGAAAAAUUGGGCGUGCAAAAUUAUUCAGCCCCCUUAAGUUAAUACUUUGUAGCGCCACCUUUUGCUGCGAUUACAGCUGUAAGUCACUUGGGGUAUGUCUCUAUCAGUUUUGCACAUCGAGAGACUGAAUUUUUUUCCCAUUCCUCCUUGCAAAACAGCUCGAGCUCAGUGAGGUUGGAUGGAGAACAUUUGUGAACAGCAGUUUUCAGUUCUUUCCACAGAUUCUCGAUUGGAUUCAGGUCUGGACUUUGACUUGGCCAUUCUAACACCUGGAUAUGUUUAUUUUUGAACCAUUCCAUUGUAGAUUUUGCUUUAUGUUUUGGAUCAUUGUCUUGUUGGAAGACAAAUAUCCGUCCCAGUCUCAGGUCUUUUGCAGACUCCAUCAGGUUUUCUUCCAGAAUGGUCCUGUAUUUGGCUCCAUCCAUCAAUUUUAACCAUCUUCCCUGUCCCUGCUGAAGAAAAGCAGGCCCAAACCAUGAUGCUGCCACCACCAUGUUUGACAGUGGGGAUGGUGUGUUCAGCUGUGUUGCUUUUACGCCAAACAUAACGUUUUGCAUUGUUGCCAAAAAGUUCCAUUUUGGUUUCAUCUGACCAGAGCACCUUCUUCCACAUGUUUGGUGUGUCUCCCAGGUGGCUUGUGGCAAACUUUAAACAACACUUUUUAUGGAUAUCUUUAAGAAAUGGCUUUCUUCUUGCCACUCUUCCAUAAAGGCCAGAUUUGUGCAAUAUACGACUGAUUGUUGUCCUAUGGACAGAGUCUCCCACCUCAGCUGUAGAUCUCUGCAGUUCAUCCAGAGUGAUCAUGGGCCUCUUGGCUGCAUCUCUGAUCAGUCUUCUCCUUGUAUGAGCUGAAAGUUUAGAGGGACGGCCAGUUCUUGGUAGAUUUGCAGUGGUCUGAUACUCCUUCCAUUUCAAUAUUCUCGCUUGCACAGUGCUCCUUGGGAUGUUUAAAGCUUGGGAAAUCUUUUUGUAUCCAAAUCCGGCUUUAAACUUCUUCACAACAGUAUCUCGGACCUGCCUGGUGUGUUCCUUGUUCUUCAUGAUGCUGUCUGCGCUUUUAACGGACCUCUGAGACUAUCACAGUGCAGGUGCAUUUAUACGGAGACUUGAUUACACACAGGUGGAUUGUAUUUAUCAUCAUUAGUCAUUUAGGUCAACAUUGGAUCAUUCAGAGAUCCUCACUGAACUUCUGGAGAGAGUUUGCUGCACUGAAAGUAAAGGGGCUGAAUAAUUUUGCACCCCCAAUUUUUCAGUU
rnacentral:lncRNA from 13 species